GGAGGGUGGGCAGGACGGCAAUGCGCGGGUUUCGAAAACCCGUGGGAGCAAUCCCUAACAGGUUCGACUCCUGUAUCCUCCG
rnacentral:tRNA from 1 species